rnacentral:snoRNA from 1 species
UAGCUGUGAUGAUAUUGGCUUCAGCGAUGGUUGGGUCCUUCGCAUUCUUCUGAACCAUCAGUUGAUAUCUGCCACACCUCUGAGCUC